UAAAAGUCGUAACAAGGUUUUCGUAGGUGAACCUGCGGAAGGAUCAUUAAUGAAUUCGGGCGCUCGACUCUGAAAUAUUGAGAUCGGCCCCAUUUCUUAAUCCACUUCACACUUGUGCACAUUUUUCCUACUUUCCUUCGGGAGAGUUUGAAAAGCUCUUGUGAUUUUAAUCAAGUCCAGGAUGUGAAUCCAAUUUGAAUAAGUUGUAAAACAACUACAAACGGUGGAUCUCUUGGCUCUCGUAUCGAUGAAGAACGCAGCGAAACGCGAAAUGUAAUGUGAAUUGCAGAAUUCAGUGAAUCAUCGAAUCUUUGAACGCAUCUUGCACUCCCGAAUCACUAUCGAGAGUAUGCCUGUUUGAGUGUCGCGAAACUCUCAACCCCGCCUCAUGCUUUAUUGCGUGUGGGUAGCUUGGGCUUGGAUCAUGAUCUUUGCAGUAAUGCGCUAGCAGAACUGCUGGAUUGAAAUACAACAAGCUGAAUCUAUAUACUUGCGGCUUGACCUGUCGUUGUAAGCACACAAAUGCAUUCGAUGGGGACGCGAGAAAAUGGAAUGAGCUUUCCAAAUGUGUUACACUUUGCAGCUUCUAUUAACUUAGAGCUCUUAGUGCAUUCUGACCUCAAAUCAGGUAGGAUUACCCGCUGAACUUAAGCAUAUCAAUAAGC
rnacentral:rRNA from 1 species